rnacentral:rRNA from 1 species
AUUGAACGCUGGCGGCAUGCCUUACACAUGCAAGUCGAACGGCAGCAUAGGAGCUUGCUCCUGAUGGCGAGUGGCGAACGGGUGAGUAAUAUAUCGGAACGUGCCCUAGAGUGGGGGAUAACUAGUCGAAAGACUAGCUAAUACCGCAUACGAUCUAAGGAUGAAAGUGGGGGAUCGCAAGACCUCAUGCUCCUGGAGCGGCCGAUAUCUGAUUAGCUAGUUGGUGGGGUAAAAGCCUACCAAGGCAACGAUCAGUAGCUGGUCUGAGAGGACGACCAGCCACACUGGGACUGAGACACGGCCCAGACUCCUACGGGAGGCAGCAGUGGGGAAUUUUGGACAAUGGGGGCAACCCUGAUCCAGCAAUGCCGCGUGAGUGAAGAAGGCCUUCGGGUUGUAAAGCUCUUUUGUCAGGGAAGAAACGGUUUUGGAUAAUACCCAGAGCUAAUGACGGUACCUGAAGAAUAAGCACCGGCUAACUACGUGCCAGCCGCCGCGGUAAUAC